rnacentral:tRNA from 1 species
GGGGUUGUAGUUCAGUGGUAGGUAGAACACCUAGUUAACAUACCUGAGGUCCUGGGUUCAAUACUCAGAACCCCU